rnacentral:rRNA from 1 species
CAGCCGCCGCGGUAAUACGAAGGGGGCUAGCGUUGUUCGGAUUUACUGGGCGUAAAGCGCACGUAGGCGGAUCGAUCAGUCAGGGGUGAAAUCCCAGAGCUCAACUCUGGAACUGCCUUCGAUACUGUCGAUCUGGAGUAUGGAAGAGGUGAGUGGAAUUCCGAGUGUAGAGGUGAAAUUCGUAGAUAUUCGGAAGAACACCAGUGGCGAAGGCGGCUCACUGGACGACUGUUGACGCUGAGGUACGAAAGCGUGGGGAGCAAACAGGAUUAGAUACCCGCGUAGUCCCUGUCUCUUAUAA